rnacentral:rRNA from 1 species
UACGUAGGGAGCAAGCGUUGUCCGGAAUCAUUGGGCGUAAAGCGCGCGUAAGUGGCCACAUAAGUCCGUUGUGAAAGUCAAAGGCUCAACCUUUGAAAGCCGAUGGAUACUGUGUGGCUAGAGUACGGAAGAGGCGAGUGAAAUUCCUGGUGUAGCGGUGGAAUGCGCAGAUAUCAGGAGGAACACCAGUGGCGAAGGCGGCUUCCUGGACACCAACUGACGCUGAGACGCGAAAGCGUGGGGAGCAAACAGG